rnacentral:rRNA from 1 species
UUCGAGUUCUGGCUCAGGAUGAACGCUAGCUACAGGCUUAACACAUGCAAGUCAGGGGCAGCAUGAAGUUUGCUUAGCAAACUUUGAUGGCGACCGGCGCACGGGUGAGUAACGCGUAUCCAACUUCCCUAUACUAGAGGAUAGCCCGGCGAAAGUCGGAUUAAUACUCUAUGUUCUUCGUAGAAGACAUCUGAAAUGAAGCAAAGGUUUACCGGUAUAGGAUGGGGGAUGCGUCUGAUUAGGUUGUUGGCGGGGUAACGGCCCACCAGCCCACGAUCAGUAGGGGUUCUGAGAGGAAGGUCCCCCCACAUUGGAACUGAGACACGGUCCAAACUCCUACGGGAGGCAGCAGUGAGGAAUAUUGGUCAAUGGACGAGAGUCUGAACCAGCCAAGUAGCGUGCAGGAUGACGGCCCUAUGGGUUGUAAACUGCUUUUAUACAGGGAUAAAGUGCACUACGUGUAGUGUUUUGUAGGUACUGUUAUGAAUAAGGACCGGCUAAUUCCGUGCCAGCCGCCGC